rnacentral:sRNA from 12 species
CUCCCAAAGCCUCUCAAUGAUGCUCAAAUCUGGGGGG